rnacentral:rRNA from 1 species
AUUGAACGCUGGCGGCACGCCUUACACAUGCAAGUCGAACGGUAACGCGGGGCAACCUGGCGACGAGUGGCGAACGGGUGAGUAAUGUAUCGGAACGUGCCCAGUUGUGGGGGAUAACUGCUCGAAAGAGCAGCUAAUACCGCAUACGACCUGAGGGUGAAAGCGGGGGAUCGCAAGACCUCGCGCAAUUGGAGCGGCCGAUAUCAGAUUAGGUAGUUGGUGGGGUAAAGGCCCACCAAGCCAACGAUCUGUAGCUGGUCUGAGAGGACGACCAGCCACACUGGGACUGAGACACGACCCAGACUCCUACGGGAGGCAGCAGUGGGGAAUUUUGGACAAUGGACGCAAGUCUGAUCCAGCCAUGCCGCGUGCGGGAAGAAGGCCUUCGGGUUGUAAACCGCUUUUGUCAGGGAAGAAACGCUCUGGGUUAAUACCUCGGGGUAAUGACGGUACCUGAAGAAUAAGCACCGGCUAACUACGUGCCAGCCGCCGCCGUAAUAC